GACGAACGCUGGCGGCGCGCUUAACACAUGCAAGUCGAACGGAAAGGCCUGCUUUCCCUUGUGGAUUGCGGGUACUCGAGUGGCGAACGGGUGAGUAACACGUGAGUGAUCUGCCCCCAACUUGGGUAUAAGCCUGGGAAACUGGGUCUAAUUCCCGAUAGGACUGCAGGGUGGUGCCUGUGGUGGAAAACGAUUUUCUAGUGGUUGGGGAUGAGCUCGCGGCCUAUCAGCUUGUUGGUGGGGUAAUGGCCUACCAAGGCGGCGACGGGUAGCCGGCCUGGGAGGGUGGACGGGCACAUUGGGACUGAGAUACGGCCCAGAAUCCUACGGGAGGCAGCAGUGGGGAAUAUUGCACAAUGGGCGGAAGCCUGAUGCAGCGACGCCGCGUGGGGGAUGACGGCCUUCGGGUUGUAAACUCCUUUCGACCGCGAGGAAGCCACCUGGUUGGAAGGGUGGUGACGGUAGUGGUAGAAGAAGCACCGGCUAACUACGUG
rnacentral:rRNA from 1 species